UUGUUUCCAUUGCUGUGAAACAGCUCUUUAGUUUAAUUAGGUCCCAUUUGUCAAUUUUUGCUUCUGUUGCAAUUGCUUUUUGGUAUCUUUAUCAUAAAAUCUUUGCCAGUUUUUAUGUCUAGAGUUUCCUAGGUUAUUUUCAGGUUUUGUGUAUAUAUAUAUAUGAGAGACAUUUAUAUAUAUAUUUAUAUACACAUUUAUAUAUAUUUAUAAAUAUAUAUAGCAUAUAUAUAAAUAAUUUUAAGUUCUACAUUUAAGUCUUUAAUUCAUCUUGACUUUUUAUAUAUUGUGUAAGGAAGGCAUCCACUUUCAAUCUUCUACAUAGUGCUAUCUAGUUAUUCCAGCCUCAUUUAUUAAAUAGGGAAUUCUUCCCGCAUUGCUCUUGUUAGCUUUGUUGAAGAUCAGAUGGUUGCAGGUAUGUGGCAUUGUGGCAUUAUUUAUUGGCUAUCUAUUCUGUUUCAUUGUUCUGUGAGUCUUUUAUUUAUAUGUAUGUGUGUGUGUGUGUGUGUGUGUAUAUUACCUUGGGUGUUCGGGCUCUUUGUUGGUUCUAUAUGAAUAUUAAAAUAGUUGUUUUUAGUUCUAUUAAGAAUGUUUUUGGUAGUUUGGUAGAAAUGACAUUAGAUCUGUAAAUUUCUUUUGACAGUGUGACCAUUUUAAUGAUAUUGAUCUUUUUUAUCCAUGAGCAUAAAAUAAACCUCCAUUUAUUUGUGUCAUAUCUGAUUUAUUUAAGCAGUGUUUUGUAAUUCUUGUUGCAGAGGUCUUUCUCCUCCCUGGUUAGCUGUAUUUCUAGAUGUUUUGUUCUUUUUGUGGCAGUUGUGAAGGGGAUUGUGUUUUUGAUUUGGCUUUCGGCUUGGAUGUUAUUGAUGUACAGGGAUGCUACUAAUUUUUGUACAUUUGCUAUGUAUUGUGAAAUUUUGCUUCAGUUUUCAGUUUAAGGAGAUUUUCUGCAGAGACUAUGGGGUUUUCUAUAUAUAGAAUCACGUUGUCUGCAAAAAAUGGGAAGUUUGACUUCCUUUCUUCCUAUUUGAAUGCCUUUUGUUUUUGUCUCUUGUCUGAUGGCUCUGGUGUGGACUACCAAUUCUAUGUUGAAUAGGAGUGGGACUAUUGACGUUUAUGGAUGUGGCCAUAGAAUUCUCUUUGGAGGAGUGGCAGUGCCUGGACACUGCACAGCAGAGUUUAUAUAGGCGUGUGAUGUUAGAGAACUACAGAAACCUGGUUUUCUUGGAUGAGGGUAUUGCUGUCUGUAAGCCAGACCUGAUUAGCUGUCUGGAGCAAGGAAAAGAGCCCUGGGAUAUGAAGAGACGUGAGAUGGUAGCUAAACAUUCAGUUAUGUUUUAGUAUUUUGCCCAACACCUUUGGCCAGAGCAGAAUGUAAGAGAGUCUUUCCAAAAAGUGACCUUAAGAAGAUACAGAAAAUGUGGAUAUGAGAAUUUAAAGUUAAGAAAAGGCUGUAAAAGUGUGGUUGAGUGUAAGCAGCACAAAGGAGAUUAUAGUGGACUUAACCAAUGUUUGAAAACUACCUUGAGCAAAAUAUUUCAAUGUGAUAAAUAUGUAAAAGUUUUCCAUAAAAUUUCAAAUUCAAAUAGACACAAGAUGAGGCAUACUGAAAAUAAACAUUUUAAAUGUAAAGAAUGUGGCAAAACAUUUUGCAUGCUUUCACACCUAACUCAACGUAAAAGAAUCCAUAUUAGAGUGAAUUUCUACAAAUAUGAAGAAUAUGGAAGAGCCUUUAACUGGUCCUCAACCCUUAAUAAACAUAAGAGAAUUCAUACUGGAGAAAAACCUUACAAAUGUAAAGAAUGUGGCAAAGCCUUUAACCAGACCUCACACCUUAUUAGACAUAAGAGAAUUCAUACUGAAGAGAAACCCUACAAAUGUGAAGAAUGUGGCAAAGCCUUUAACUAGUCAUCAACUCUUACUACACAUAAUACGAUUCAUACUGGGGAAAACCCCUGCAAAUGUGAGAAAUGUGGUAGAGCUUUUAACCAAGCCUCAAAGCUUACUGAACAUAAGUUAAUUCAUACUGGAGAGAAACCCUACAAAUGUAAAGAAUGUGGCAUGGUUUUUAACCAGUUCUCAACCUUUAAUACACAUAAGAUCAUUCAUACGGGAGAGAAACCUUAUGAAUGUGAAGAAUGCGGCAAAGCUUUUAACUGAUCCUCAAAACUUACUGAACAUAAGUACAUUCAUACUGGAGAGAAACCGUACAAAUGUGAAGAAUAUGGUAAAGCCUUUAACCAGUCCUCAACCCUUACUACACAUAAGAGAAUUCAUAGUGGAGAGAAACCCUACAAAUGUGAAGAAUGUGGCAAAGCUUUUAAACAAUCUUCAAACCUUACUGACCAUAAAAAUAUUCAUACCGGAGAGAAACCCUACAAAUGUGAGAAAUGUGGCAAAGCAUUUAACCGAUCUUCAAAUCUUACUGAACAUAAGAAAAUACAUACUGCAGAGAAAUUCUACAAAUGUGAAGAAUGUGGCAAAGCUUUUAACCAACUCUCAAACCUUACUAGACAUAAGCUAAUUCAUACUGGAGAGAAACCCUACAAAUGUGGAGAAUGUGGCAAAGCCUUUAACCAGUCCUCAGCCCUUAGUGCACAUAAGAUAAUCCAUACUGGAGAGAAUCCCUACAAAUGUAGAGAAUCUGGCACAAAGUUUUCCACCUAUCCUCAAAACUUAGUACACAUAAGAAAAUUCAUGCUGGAGAGAAACUCUACAAAUGUGAAGAAUGUGGCAAAGCCUUUAACCGAUCUUCAACCCUUAUUGGACAUAAGAUAAUUCAUACUGGAGAGAAACCCUACAUAUAUGAAGAAUGUCGCAAAGCUUUUAACCUGUCCGCCAACCUUCCUGCACAUAAAAAAAUUCAUCUUGGAGAGAAACCCUACAAGUGUGAAGAAUGUGGCAAAGCUUUUAACCGAUCUUCAACACUUACUACACAUAAGAUAAUUCAUACUGAAGAGAAACAGUACAAAUGUGAUGAAUGUGGCAAAGCUUUUACCUGAUCCUCAAAACUCAUUGAACCAGAAAAUUCAUACUGGAGAGAAACCUUACAAGUGUGAAGAAUGUGGCAAAACUUCUAAUAAUUUCUCAACUUUUACUAAACAUAAGAUGAUUCAUACUGGAGAGAAGCUAUACAAAUGUGAUGAAUGUGACAAAGCUUUUACCCGAUCUUCGACCCUUACUACACAUAAGAUAAUUCAUACUGGAGAGAAGAAACCCUACAAAUGUGAAGAAUGUGGCAGAGCUUUUAAUUCAUCAAAACUUACUGAACAUAAAAAAAUUCAUACUGGAGAAAAAUCCUACAAAUGUGAAGAAUGUGGCAAAGCUUUUAAUUGAUCUUCAAACCUUACUAAACAUAAGAACAUUCAUACUGGAGAGAAACCUUACAAAUGCAAAGAAUGUGGAAAAGCUUUUAACCAGUUCUCAACCCUUACUACACAUAAAAUAAUUCAUACUGGAGAGAAACCAUAUAAAUGUGAAGAAUGUGGCAAAGCUUUCAACCUAUACAUAAACCUUACUACACAUAAGAAAAUUCAUACUGGAGAGAAGCUCUGCAAGUGUGAAGAAUGUGGCAAAGCUUUUAACCAAGUGUCAACUCUUACUAUACAUAAAAGAAUUCAUAUUGGAGAGAAACCUUAGAAAUGUGAGGAAUGUGGCAAAACUUUCAGUCGAUCCUCAAAACUUACUACACAUAAGAAAAUUCAUACAGGAGAGAAACCUUACAAAUGUGAAAAAUGUGGUAAAGCUUUUAACCAGUCUUCAACCCUUUCUACACACAAAAUAAUUCACACUGGAGAGAAACACUACAAAUGUGAAGAAUGUGGCAAAGUGUUUAACAGAUCUUCAAACCUUACAGAGCAUAAAAAAAUUCAUACAGGAGAGAAAUCCUACAAAUGUAAAGAAUGUGGCAAGGCCUUUAACCGGUCCUCAACUCUUACUAAACAUAAGGUAAUUCAUACUGGAGAGAAACUGUACAAAUGUAAAGAAUGUGGUAAAACUUUUAAACAGUUCUCACACCUUGCUGUACAUAAGAUAAUUCAUACUGGAGAGAAACUCUACCAAUGUGAAGAAUGUGGCAAAGCUUUUAACUUAUCCUCAAACCUUACUGCACAUAAGAAAAAUCAUACUGUAGCAAAACCCUACAAAUGUGAAGAAUAUGGCAAAGCUUUUAACUUAUCCUCAAACCUUACUGCACAUUAAGAAAAAUCAUACUGGAGUGAAACCCUACAAAUGUGAAGAACGUGGCAAAGCUUUUAACUUAUCCUCAAACCUUACUGCACAUAAGAAAAAUCAUACUGGAGCAAAACUCUACAAAGGUGAAGAAUGUGGCAAAGCUAACCUAUCUUCAACCCUUACUCCACAUAGGACAAUUCAUACUUGCGAGAAACCCUGCAAAUGUGAACAAUAUGGCAAUGCUUUUAAUUAAAUCUCAAACUUUACUAAACGUAAGAAAAUUAAUACUGGAAACUUUACAAACCUAAAGGAUGAGACAAUGAUUUUGAAAACACCUUCAAACUUUUCUAACCAUAAAAGCAAUCAUACUGGUGAGAAAUCUUAAAAAUGUGAAGAAUGUUACAAAGCCUUUAAAUGGUUGUCACACUUGAUUAUAGGUAAGAUAAUUUAUACUGGAGAAAACUCCCAGAAGUGCGAAGAAUGUGGCAAAACUUUUUAUUAAUUUUCACACCUUAUUGCACAGGAAAGCCCUUCAGAAAAAUUGUACAAAUAUAAAUGUGGAAAAGCCAUUAAUAUCUGGUUAUAUCUUACUCAACAUUAGAGAGUUAUUGCUUAAUAAAAGCAUUAUAAAUGCAGUUAGUGUAAAAACCUCAGAAAACAAAAGCUUUCUUUUUUAGAUGGAGUCUUGCUCUGUCACCCAGGCUGGAAUGCAGUGGUGUGAUAUUGGCUUACUGCAACCUCUGCCUCCCAGGUUCAAGCAAUUCUCCUGCCUUAGCCUCCAGAGUAGGUGAGACUACAGGCGCCCACCACCACGUUUGGCUAAUUGUUUUUAUUUUUAGUAGAGACUGUCACCAUGUGGGCCACGCUGGUCUUGAACUCCUGACCUCAAAUGAUCAACCUGCCUCUGCCUCCCAAAUUGCUGGGAUUAUAGGUGUGAGUUGCUGUGCCUGACAAAUAUAAGCCUUUAAAGAGAAGGUUUUCAUUUUGAAGACAAACAUUAGGAACAUAAAGAGGGUUGUAGUGUCUUUACUUGUAUCACAGAUUUUGUUGUACACAUUAUGUACUAAAGGAAAAUCCCGAAACAGUGAUGAAAUUUUGAUUAACAUCAAGGAGUUUAUAUUAGAGAAACUGCAAAUGUAAUAUAUUUGGAAAAACAUUUUUUCAAGAACUACUGCUUAGAAAACACCAGGGGACUCAUACUAAAAUAUAUUUUUGAAGAUGCAGUAAGUAUAAAAGAAAUUUAAUGCAAAAUUAACUGGGUGUAAAUAUCAGAGAAUUCACAGUAGAAAUAUCUAAGGCACUGACACUUCAGACAUUGCACUUAAUCAGUGUGCUGAGUAGAGAAAAUACUCCAAAAUUAAAGUUGAUAGAUAAAUUAUUUGUAUAUAACUUUAAAAGAGGUAGAAAUAUUUUUAGUUAUAAUUACAUUUAAAGUAUACUUUUUUCUUUGAAAAAAUCAGAAUUUUUAAAAAGUGAGUGAUGUAAUUCAACUCAAAUUACUUCUUGCUCUUCAUUUCUAUUGUAUUCACAUGUAAAAGCAUGUGAUCAAUUGUUGCUUCAUCAAAGACAUGAGACAUUCUUUUUUGUUAGGUGGGCAUUAUUUUUGACCUUUUCUAUGGAAGAGUAAAGACAUUACAAUGUAGGAUGCAUGAUAAAAAUCUAAGUGGAGAGAUGCUUUGUGUUUAAUUUAUAAUAUUGAGUGCUGUAUGAGGGAGGUGUUCAGAGGAAUAUUCUUCUGCAUUCUAGUGAAAAUAUCUUUUGUUUUAGUUAAAAUUAAAUUAAAAUUAGUAGUAUAUCAUUUUACUAAUUGUAUUUCUAUGUAAUAAAAUGCAGCACAUUUAAAAAAUUUUAGAUUAUUGUGAAGUUAAUUUUUUAAUUAAACUUUUUUUUAAACGUGUUAAGACCAUUGUGCAUUCAAUGAAGUGUUAUUACACCACUAACUUUAACCUAUCCCACCUUACUCAAGGGUGUAGGUAAAAGAUAGUGACAAUGUACUAUUUAAUAACAGUGGACUAACAUCUCUAAUAAUUUCUCUUGCCAGUGACUUUAAAGUAAAGAACUUAAAGAACAUUGUUCCUAUAGGUUAAAUUUUUAUUCUUUUUUCUUAUUUAAACAUAUUUUUCUUAAAUUUUAUGGGUACAUAGUGUGUGUAUAUAUUUAUGCCAUAUAUGGCAUAUUUUGAUGUUAAUCAUGCAUAUAAAUAUAUAUUAAUCAUGUUAGGGCAAAUGAAAUACCCAUCAACUCCAGCAUUUAUCAUUUGUAUUACAAACCAAUUCUACACUUCUAGUUACUUUAAAAUGUACAAGUAAAUUGCUAUUGACUAUAGGGUCAUUUUCAUGGGCAUAAUAAAAAUUAUAUACAAGUGUAAAUAAAAUCCUGAGUCUUAAAAUUCUGAGUUCUGCCUAAACAUUGUAAAAAUUUUGUUAUGUAUUUUUCUUUGAACAUGUCUCUCUGCCUGCAAACAUAACAGAAUUUUAGUAUUGGUUUACAUAGAGUUAACUAUACACAUAUAUUACCCUAAAAAUAAACCUUAGGUGUUAGAAAAUUAUGGA